UGGGGAAUAUUGCGCAAUGGGCGAAAGCCUGACGCAGCGACGCCGCGUGGGUGAUGAAGGCCUUCGGGUCGUAAAACCCUGUCGGGGGGGACGAAACCUCGGCGACCGAACACGUCGCCGACUUGACGGUACCUCCAAAGGAAGCACCGGCUAACUCCGUGCCAGCAGCCGCGGUAAUACGGAGGGUGCAAGCGUUGUUCGGAAUCACUGGGCGUAAAGCGCGUGUAGGCGGCCUCUUAAGUCUGGUGUGAAAGCCCGGGGCUCACCCCCGGAAGGGCACUGGAUACUGAGGGGCUAGAGUACCGGAGAGGAGGGUGGAAUUCCUGGUGUAGCGGUGAAAUGCGUAGAUAUCAGGAGGAACACCGGUGGCGAAGGCGGCCCUCUGGACGGCUACUGACGCUGAGACGCGAAAGCGUGGGGAGCAAACAGGAUUAGAUACCCUGGUAGUCCACGCCGUAAACGAUGGGCACUAGGUGUCCGGGGUCUUAACCCCCCGGGUGCCGUAGCUAACGCAUUAAGUGCCCCGCCUGGGGAGUACGGCCGCAAGGUUA
rnacentral:rRNA from 1 species